CAUUUUUGAAAUACCAGGACUAGGAGAAUUUUGUGAUUAUUGUUUCAAUAAGGAUAAAUUGACAAACUAUUAGCGCAAAUAAUUUUAAAGAUCACCCUGUACAGUGUACAGUGUACAGUGUACACGUGUAUACGUGUAGUCUGUAGAUUAGCAUGAAGCAGGAACCGACCCCUUCCACCUCAACAUAUGGUAUAAUAAUCUGAUUUUGGCCUUCUGAUGACUCGACUAGGUCUGGAUAAAACGAAAAAAUAUUCUUUAGACAAAAUCAUUUUCCGGGGGAAGGAUUUGGCUGGUGCUCACGGGAAAAUUGCUUCCUCUGUGCUGGUGGAAAACUAUUUCUCCCAGCUGACAAAAAAUGAGGUGACCCGGUUAUAUGAGAUGUAUGAACUAGAUCAUAAGCUUUUUGGUUACUCACCUCAACCUUAUCUAGAUGUAGCUAAACAGUGAUCUAUAAAUCAAUCAAUCAAUCACAUCAGCCAUUACACUAAUUAAUCAAUCAAACAUUAAAUAAAUUGAUCAAUUGACCAAUCAAUCAUUUAAUCAAUUGAUCUCAGCCAUAACACCAAUCAAUCAAUCAUUUAAUAAGUUGAUCAUUUGACCAAUCGAUCAUUUUACCAAUUGAACAAUCAUUCAUUUGAUUAAUUGACCAAUCAAUCAUUUGAAUGAUUGACCAAUCAUUCAUUUAA